CUGGCGGCAGUAGCGCGGUGGUCCCACCUGACCCCAUGCCGAACUCAGAAGUGAAACGCCGUAGCGCCGAUGGUAGUGUGGGGUCUCCCCAUGCGAGAGUAGGGAACUGCCAGAC
rnacentral:rRNA from 11 species